AUGAAGACUCCCAUUGAGGUUCUCCUUAAUGAACAACCUGAUUAUACCUUUCUCAAGGUAUUUGGGUGUGCUUGCUGGCCGCAUCUUCGUCCAUAUAACAAGCGCAAGCUUGAGUUUCGUUCUAAGAAGUGUGUUUUCCUUGGCUAUAGCUCUCUUCAUAAAGGUUACAAAUGUCUUCAUGUUCCCACUAAUCGUGUCUAUAUAUCUCGAGACGUCGUGUUUGAUGAGCAUGUUUUUCCCUUUGCCAACCUUCCUGUGUCCACUGUCGAACCACCAUCCCUGCAUUCAUCCUCUGUUGCUUUUGACCAAUUUGAUGAUGUUGCAUACUCUCCUUUGCUGUUACCUAACCAUGGUGCAGGAACCGGACGUGGAGCUCGUUUGGAGCUGUUGGAGGAUUCACCAUCAUCAUCGUCGUCUUCUGGUGGGCACGUCGAUCGCCCUAUGUUGCAUGGCAUCGAUUCGCGUGCCCAUGCAUGGUCACCCGACGAGCCCGUCGCGCCGAGCAUCUCCACUGCUCGGUCUGCUACGCCAGUGAUCGCCGAGUCUCCAGCGGCUCGGCCUUUUUCACCAGCGGCCGCCGAGUCGCCCGUGGCUCGGCCCGUCACGCCGUCUUCGCCCGCGGCUCGGGUCCUCAUGUCGCCUUCAUCAGCGGAUCGGCCCGCGACACCGGCCACGCCACGGCCCACUAUGCCGAGCUCGCCAUCGGCCCGGUUUGGGAUGCCGGAGUCGCCAGCUGCUUCGUCUGCUCUGCCGGUUUCACCGGUGGGCCGGCCUUCUUCGCCGACUGAGUCCGAGGCUACCGUGCCUGGCUCCUCGUCACCGGCUGACUCAUCAACGUCGCCGUCCUCCAGCCCGUUGCAGGCUGCUCCGUCGACCUCGGUGGUUCCUGUGUCUCGACCACAUACACGCAGUCGCAGUGGCAUUUUCAAACCUAAGGAACGUACGGAUGGUACGGUUGCUUGGUUGGCUGCUUGUUUGGCUGCUGCUGUUGCGGAUCCAUCUUCUGAGCCUCGCUCAUAUCAGGCUGCCCUGCGCAUUCCACAUUGGCGAGAGGCUAUGGAGCAGGAGUUUCAUGCUCUUCUUCGUAACAAGACAUGGACUCUCGUUCCUCCACCACCACGGGUAAAUGUUAUUGACUCAAAAUGA
rnacentral:rRNA from 1 species